rnacentral:rRNA from 1 species
GACGAACGCUGGCGGCGUGCCUAACACAUGCAAGUCGAACGAGAAUCUUUGAACAGAUCUUUUCGGAGUGACGUUCAAAGAGGAAAGUGGCGGACGGGCGAGUAACGCGUGAGUAACCUGCCCAUAAGAGGGGGAUAAUCCAUGGAAACGUGGACUAAUACCGCAUAUUGUAGUUAAGUUGCAUGACUUGAUUAUGAAAGAUUUAUCGCUUAUGGAUGGACUCGCGUCAGAUUAGAUAGUUGGUGAGGUAACGGCUCACCAAGUCAACGAUCUGUAGCCGAACUGAGAGGUUGAUCGGCCGCAUUGGGACUGAGACACGGCCCAGACUCCUACGGGAGGCAGCAGUGGGGAAUAUUGCGCAAUGGGGGCAACCCUGACGCAGCAACGCCGCGUGCAGGAAGAAGGUCUUCGGAUUGUAAACUGUUGUCGCAAGGGAAGAAGACAGUGACGGUACCUUGUGAGAAAGUCACG